CUAACAAGUGUGGAUUUCUUUUUCUUUCCUUCUUUCUUUCUUUCCUAUAAAGCCGGAUGAAUGUUGCAUUACAUGGCCAGCAGAAUAUGAGUCAGUGCGUGUCUGUGCGCUGAGGUGGAGUGUCUCUCUCCCGCUGCACGGCUGUCUCGGUCCGCCACGAACCUUCCUACGCCAGGAUGCAGCUACUUAGAGUUGCGUGGGCACUGACCGGAGCGGCGAUCUGCUGCUUUCUCAUUCUCCUCAUUCACUCCCGCCUGCUCAAAGAAGGCCAGCUGGCAGCGGGGACAUGUGAGAUUGUGACGCUGGACAGGGACAGCAGCCAACCACGGCGGACCAUCGCCAGGCAGACGGCCCGCUGCGCCUGUAAGAAGGGCCAGAUCGCUGGAACUACAAGAGCCAGACCCGCCUGUGUGGACGCUGGCAUUGUUCGGAAAAAGCAGUGGUGCGAGAUGGUGCCAUGUUUGGAGGAUGAAGGCUGUGACCUGUUAGUCAAUAAAUCUGGCUGGACUUGUACACAGCCCGGAGGCCGAGUCAAAACCACCACGGCUCUAUGACGCGACAAGGGUCCCCCUCGACACUCUUGCACUAUGGAGAGCUUUGAUGACCCCCAUGACAGGCAGCCCAAAUCCACCAACCAACAUCACUACCACCUCCUCAACCACCACCACCACAACAGGUCAACCCACACCCCGGUCCCGCAAAGGCAGGAAUCAACACAAGCAGCUACACAGCGCCAUGGGCCUCAUUGGAGGCAGCAAGGUCUCAUAACACAGCCGGAGAUGGGAAAAGCCAGGGAGUGACUGUUUGAGGGAGUGAGCUCUCCCCCUGGAACACUGGACAAACUCGCUUAUAAACCACUUCGAUCUGGCCCCUCCGGGUUCCCGACCGCUCCCUCCUGCUAUCUGUUGUUGGGUCAACAUGUCGCCGUCCACCUCCUCUCUACUGUAUCUGCCUGCUCUGUGAAAUAAGCAGCACCCGCUGGUGCCGCGGAGGACCGGACACCUUCAGCGUCCCGCAGUUUUUCGUUUGCCUCAUUGGAAGUCCGCUGUCCGGAGCUGCUAGCUGCAUUGAACAAAGGGGGGGGGGGGGGUCGCCCUCAUCUCUCUUCAAGACUCUAGUGCAGGAGUUCCAGAGCAUCGACGGGAUCAUUACAGACCAAACCCUGUUGCUUCUUGGACCACCUCGCGAGACCGC